rnacentral:rRNA from 1 species
CAUGCAAGUCGAACGAGCGAGAGAGAGCUUGCUUUCUCGAGCGAGUGGCGAACGGGUGAGUAACGCGUGAGGAACCUGCCUCAAAGAGGGGGACAACAGUUGGAAACGACUGCUAAUACCGCAUAAGCCCACGGGUCGGCAUCGACCAGAGGGAAAAGGAGCAAUCCGCUUUGAGAUGGCCUCGCGUCCGACUAGCUAGUUGGUGAGGUAAUGGCCCACCAAGGCGACGAUCGGUAGCCGGACUGAGAGGUUGAACGGCCACAUUGGGACUGAGACACGGCCCAGACUCCUACGGGAGGCAGCAGUGGGGAAUAUUGCACAAUGGGGGAAACCCUGAUGCAGCGACGCCGCGUGGAGGAAGAAGGUCUUCGGAUUGUAAACUCCUGUUGUUGGGGAAGAUAAUGACGGUACCCAACAAGGAAGUGACGGCUAACUACGUGCCAGCAGCCGCGGUAAAACGUAGGUCACAAGCGUUGUCCGGAAUUACUGGGUGUAAAGGGAGCGCAGGCGGGAAGACAAGUUGGAAGUGAAAUCUAUGGGCUCAACCCAUAAACUGCUUUCAGAACUGUUUUUCUUGAGUAGUGCAGAGGUAGGCGGAAUUCCCGGUGUAGCGGUGGAAUGCGUAGAUAUCGGGAGGAACACCAGUGGCGAAGGCGGCCUACUGGGCACCAACUGACGCUGAGGCUCGAAAGUGUGGGUAGCAAACAGGAUUAGAUACCCUGGUAGUCCACACCGUAAA